rnacentral:rRNA from 1 species
AUUGAACGCUGGCGGCAUGCCUUACACAUGCAAGUCGAACGGCAGCACGGGUGCUUGCCCCUGGUGGCGAGUGGCGAACGGGUGAGUAAUACAUCGGAACAUGUCCUGUAGUGGGGGAUAGCCCGGCGAAAGCCGGAUUAAUACCGCAUACGAUCUACGGAUGACAGCGGAGGACCUUCGGGCCUCGCGCUAUAGGGUUGGCCGAUGGCUGAUUAGCUAGUUGGUGGGGUAAAGGCCUACCAAGGCGACGAUCAGUAGCUGGUCUGAGAGGACGACCAGCCACACUGGGACUGAGACACGGCCCAGACUCCUACGGGAGGCAGCAGUGGGGAAUUUUGGACAAUGGGCGAAAGCCUGAUCCAGCAAUGCCGCGUGUGUGAAGAAGGCCUUCGGGUUGUAAAGCACUUUUGUCCGGAAAGAAAUCCUUGGCCCUAAUACGGUCGGGGGAUGACGGUACCGGAAGAAUAAGCACCGGCUAACUACGUG